AGACGGAGGGUGCUAGCGUUGUUCGGAAUCAUUGGGCGUAAAGGGCGUGUAGGCGGAUCGUUAAGUCAUGCGUGAAAGCCCUCGGCUUAACCGAGGAAGGGCGUAUGAUACUGGCGACCUAGAGUUCGGAAGAGGGGGGUGGAAUUCCAGGUGUAGCGGUGAAAUGCGUAGAUAUCUGGAGGAACACCGGUGGCGAAGGCGACCCCCUGGUCCGACACUGACGCUGAGACGCGAAAGCGUGGGUAGCAAACAGGAUUAGAUACCCCGGUAGUCC
rnacentral:rRNA from 1 species